GACGAACGCUGGCGGCGUGCCUAAUACAUGCAAGUAGAACGCUGAAACUUGGUGCUUGCACCGAGCGGAUGAGUUGCGAACGGGUGAGUAACGCGUAGGUAACCUGCCUGGUAGUGGGGGAUAACUAUUGGAAACGAUAGCUAAUACCGCAUAAGAGUAGACUUUGCAUGACAUUUGCGUAAAAGGUGCAAUUGCACCACUACCAGACGGACCUGCGUUGUAUUAGCGAGUUGGUGGGGUAACGGCUCACCAAGGUGACGAUGCAUAGCGGCCCUGAGAGGGUGAUCAGCCGCACUGGGACUGGGACCGGGCCCAGACUGCUUCAGGAAGCAGCAGUAGUGAUUCGUCGGCAAUGAGCGGAAGUCUGACCGAGAAACGCCGCGUGCGUGAACAGGGUUUUCGGGUCGUAGAGCUCUGUUGUAAGAGAAGAACGCGUGUGAGAGUGUAAAGUUCACACUGUGACGGUAACUUACCAGAAAGCGACGGCUAACUACGUG
rnacentral:rRNA from 1 species